GCAAAUUCAGUUUUUUUAAAUUUUUACUAUUGGGCUAAUUGCUUAUUUUAUAUGCGAAUAUUAAUUAAAUUAUACUAACUAUAACAUGUAUUAACACUUAUUCUUAAAGAUGUAACUCUAUUUGAGUUUAAUUUUGGUUAAAAUUAUUUCCACUAUAUUAACAAUUGUACAAAAUAAUAAAGCUACUCUAGAGGCCUGUUUUCAACCCCAGAAAACAGGCCUUUUUUUAUAAAAAAUAUUCUGGAUUUAUAAUUUCAUAUGAUGUUUAAAAUAAGGUAAAAAAUUAUUUAAAUGUAAACUUAUAAUAAUUAAAAGUAGGUA
rnacentral:rRNA from 1 species